UACGGAGGGUGCAAGCGUUGUCCGGAUUUAUUGGGUUUAAAGGGUGCGUAGGCGGUUUAAUAAGUCAGUGUUUAAAGUCUGCAGCUUAACUGUAGGUAUGGCAUUGAUACUGUUAGACUUGAGUAAAGUUGAGGUGGGCGGAAUUUAUGGUGUGGCGGUGAAAUGCAUAGAUACCAUAAAGAACACCGAUUGCGAAGGCAGCUCACUAAGCUUUAACUGACGCUGAGGCACGAAAGCGUGGGGAUCAAACAGG
rnacentral:rRNA from 1 species